UCUCCGGUUUCCGCUUUUCCUUGCCUC
rnacentral:sRNA from 1 species